ensembl:lncRNA novel transcript
GUAAUUAAUGCCUGAAUGUUCAGCAAGUGAGUCGUGUCAAUAAAUGGCAUCUCAGACAUGCAGGUAAAUCGAAGAAGAAUGCUUAGGCUUCUAUAUGGAAGUGCUGCAAUCUUCAGUUAUUUUGCACUGCACUUCUCCUUGCUGCUGCCAUGUGAAGAAGGACGUGUUUGCUGCCCCUUCUGCCAUGAUUGUAAGUUUCCUGAGGCCUCCCCAGCCCUGCAGAACUGAAAAUGCCCACUGUUGUGCUGGUGGUGUGGAAUAAGGAACAUUGGAGAGAAAAAUCACCAGCAGAAGGAGGGAGCAAAGAAAUGUUCCCAGAACUGACUGUUUCUUAUUUAUACCAGUAUCAUCCUGGGGUAGCUGGCAAAGGAGACUUGCUCACCAGAAGCAUCUCAGGAAACUGCCCUGUAGCUUGAGCUCUGGUGCCUGCCUACAAUGGUGCUUAGCACAGAGCCACACUCACGCAUUUCUGGAAGGAAUGCAAGGCACGCUGUGGUAAGCAGGAUGACACAGCCACAGUCCACUCUGCUAAAGGGAUGCCGGGUCCUUGAAGAAGAAAUUCUGCAUUGCAUUGGAAGGCUUCUGGGAAGACCUAUGGUUUAACUU